rnacentral:rRNA from 1 species
GACGAACGCUGGCGGCGUGCUUAUCACAUGCAAGUCGAACGGAAAGGCCCUGCUUGUGUGGUGUUCUCGGGUGGCGAACGGGUGAGUAACACGUGAGUAUCCUGCCCUUGACUUUGGGAUAACUUCAGGAAACUGGGGCUAAUACCGUAUAGGAGCCCCUGCUGCAUUGUGGGGGUGGGAAAGUUGCGGCGGGUGGGGAUGGACUCGCGGCUUAUCAGCUUGUUGGUGGGGUAGUGGCUUACCAAGGCUUUGACGGGUAGCCGGCCUGAGAGGGUGACCGGCCACAUUGGGACUGAGAUACGGCCCAGACUGCUACGGGAGGCAGCAGUGGGGAAUAUUGCACAAUGGGAGGAAGCCUGAUGCAGAGACGCCGCGUGCGGGAUGACGGCCUUCGGGUUGUAAAACGCUUUAGCCUGUGACGAAGCGUGAGUGACGGUAAUGGGUAAAGAAGCACCGGCUAACUACGUG